rnacentral:rRNA from 1 species
UACGGAGGGUGCGAGCGUUGUCCGGAAUCACUGGGCGUAAAGGGCGCGUAGGCGGCCUGCUAAGUCGGGGGUGAAAUCCUGCGGCUUAACCGCAGGGCUGCCUUCUAAACUGUCAGGCUCGAGCACAAUAGAGGCAGGUGGAAUUCCCGGUGUAGCGGUGGAAUGCGUAGAUAUCGGGAGGAACAUCUGUGGCGAAGGCGACACCCUGGGCCAGCACUGACACUGAGGCGCGAAAGCGUGGGGAGCAAACAGG